ensembl:lncRNA
UGCUGGUGUGGGCUGGUCCAUCUUGGGUUUGUUGUGGACUAGCCUGUGUUGGGCUGGUGUGGGCUAGCCUGUGUUGGGCUUGGUGUGGGCUGGCCUGUGUUGGGCUGAUGUGGGCUAGCUUGUGUUGGGCUUGGUGUGGGGUGGUCCUUCCUGUGCUGCUCUGGGCUGGUCCAUCUUGGAUUUGGUGUGGACUAGCCUGUGUUGGGCUGGUGUGGGCUAGCCCGUGUUGUGUUUGGUGUGGGCAAGCCUGUAUUGGGCUUGUUGUGGGCUAGCCUGUGUUGGGCUUGGUGUGGGCUAGCUUGUGUUGGGAUGGUGUGGGUUAGCCUGUGUUGGGCUGGUGUGGGCUGGCCUGUGUUGGGUUUGGUGUGGGCUGGUCCUUCCUGUGCUGGUGUGAGCUGGUCCAUCUUGGGUUUGGUGUGGACAAGCCUGUGUUUGGCUGGUGUGGGAUAGCCUGUGUUGGGCUUGGUGUGAGGUGGUCCUUCCUGUGUUCGUGUGGGCUGAUCCAUCUUGGGUUUGUUGUCGACUAGCCUGUUGGGCUGGUGUGGGCUAGUCUGUGUUGGGCUGGUGUGGGAUGGCCUGUGUUGGGCUUGGUGUGGGCUGGCCUGUGUUGGGCUGAUGUGAGCUAGCCUGUGUUGGGUUUUGGUGUGGGCUGGCCUGUGUUGGUCUGGUAAUGGCUAGCCUGUGUUGGUGUAGGCUGGCCUAUGUUGGGUUUGGCGUGGGCUAGCCUGUGUUGGGCAGGUGUGGGCUAGCCUGUGUUGGGCUAGGUGUGGGCUGGCCUGUGUUGGACUUUGUGGGGGCUGGCCUGUGUUGGGCUGGUGUGGGUAAGCCUACGUUGGGCUAGGUGUGGGCUGAAUUGUAUUGGGCUGGUGUGUGUUAGCCUGUGUUGGGCUGGUGUGGGCUAAUCUGUGUUGGGCUUGGUGUGGGCUGGUCCUUCCUGUGCUGGUGUGGGCUAGUCCAUCUUGGGUUUGGUGUGGACUAGCCUGUGUUGGGCUGGUGUGGGCUAGCCUGUGUUGGGCUUAGAGUGGGAAAGCCUAUGUUGAGCUAGGUGUGGGCUGGUCUGUGUUGGGUUUGGCGUGGGCUAGACUGUGUUGGGCUGGAGUGGGCUAGCCUGUGUUGGGCUAGGUGUUUGCUGGCCUGUGUUGGGCUUGGUGUGGGCUGGCAUGUGUUGGGCUUGGUGUGGGCUGGCCUGUUGUCACGAUCGUCGUAAUGAGCGGACCAAGGAGUAGCGUGUGGUCAGGGCGUGACAUUACCUCCUCC